GUUCUACUGCAACGUUGGUGACUGCCAAUAUUGUUUUGCGAUCUAUAGCUUUAUGUAAAAGGGAACCGAUAAAGCUCGGACGGCAGUAAACCGAGCCUGGUACUCGGAAACUUCAAGUCCAGAGCAUUGGUCCCCACCUGGUUUUCCAGGUCGAAAACUGCGGCAAGACGGCGUUGCGGGGAACC
rnacentral:other from 3 species